GCCCGGAUGGCGAAACUGGUAGACGCAAGGGACUUAAAAUCCCUCGGCCGCAGGGCCAUGUGGGUUCGAGCCCCACUCCGGGCACCA
rnacentral:tRNA from 1 species